rnacentral:rRNA from 1 species
AUUGAACGCUGGCAGAAUGCUUUACACAUGCAAGUCGAGCGGCAGCGCGGCCUUCGGGCUGGCGGCGAGCGGCGAACGGGUGAGUAAUGCAUCGGAACAUGCCCAGUCGUGGGGGAUAACACUUCGAAAGAAGUGCUAAUACCGCAUACGUCCUGAGGGGGAAAGCGGGGGAUCGCAAGACCUCGCGCGAUUGGAGUGGCCGAUGUCAGAUUAGCUAGUUGGUGGGGUAAAGGCCUACCAAGGCGACGAUCUGUAGCUGGUCUGAGAGGAUGAUCAGCCACACUGGGACUGAGACACGGCCCAGACUCCUACGGGAGGCAGCAGUGGGGAAUUUUGGACAAUGGGGGCAACCCUGAUCCAGCCAUUCCGCGUGAGUGAAGAAGGCCUUCGGGUUGUAAAGCUCUUUCGGCAGGAACGAAACGGUGGGCUCUAACAUAGUCCGCUAAUGACGGUACCUGAAGAAGAAGCACCGGCUAACUACGUG